GUAUCGAAUUAUCUUUAAACGAGACUUAACACGCAGUCCAGAAAUCCGACGGAACAUAAUGAAGAGGUCAGUAAUUCCUCCUCCAAUCGAGUGUUCAUAAAAAAAGAAAAAGCAGUCUCGAAAUCUACUGAAUUUUACUAACUUCUAUCCCUAGUAUAGAAAAGCAAAUAAAUUAUUACUUAAAGUAAAAUAUUAAUUUGGUUAUUAUUAUUAAAAUAGUAAUUAAGUUACGAUACAAUCGAAGAUGAUGCAACAGGAAUCAUUCUUGGCCUUCUUCAUUAUGUUACUGCAGCUGCUAUAAAGAUGCAAGUUAUGUGGACUUUGGUUUCAGCAUUGCAUUUUUUCUCUUACUGAUGUAGUAUUCCUGAUUUCAAAGAAAAUCUUCACACAGGAUUGAUGCUUUUUUUUCUUCUUAAAUUUUAUUAUAUUUAGAAGACAAUAGUGAAACAUCGAUUAAAAGUAUUGCUGCUGAAAUACCAAGAAGAAGAAG